rnacentral:rRNA from 1 species
GAUGAACGCUGACAGAAUGCUUAACACAUGCAAGUCAACUGUGGCGGACGGGUGAGUAACGCGUAAAGAACUUGCCUCACGGAUAGGGACAACAUUUGGAAACGAAUGCUAAUCCCUGAUACUGUGAGAGAGCUUUGCGUCCCAUUAGCUAGUUGGAGAGGUAACGGCUCACCAAGACGAUGAUGGGUAGCCGGCCUGAGAGGGUGAUCGGCCACAAGGGGACUGAGACACGGCCCUUACUCCCACGGGAUGCAGCAGUGGGGAAGACUGUACAAUGGACCAAAGUAUGAGCCAGUAAUUAUGUGUGCACGAUGCAGGUGUCGGAAUGUAAAGUGCUUUCAGUUGGGAAGCGGUACCAUCAGAAGAAGUGACGGCUAAAUACGUGCCAGCAGCCGCGGUAAUUC